ACAGCCACAUCAUGUUGAAACACCAGUUCCCAUAUGAUCACCAAAGUUAAGCAAUGUCAAUACCUAGAUGGGUGACCACUUGGAAAUACCAGGUGCUGUAAG